GACGAACGGCUGGCGGCGUGCCUAACACAUGCAAGUCGAGCGGGGUUGAAGCGAGAGGUAACUCGAACUUCUACCUAGCGGCGGACGGGUGAGUAACGCGUGGGCAACCUGCCUCAAGGUUUGGGAUAACAGCCCGAAAGGGCUGCUAAUACCGGAUAUGCCUAUGGCCUCGCAUGGGGCUAUGAGCAAAGGGGAAACCCGCCUUGAGAUGGGCCCGCGUCCCAUCAGCUAGUUGGUGAGGUAACAGCUCACCAAGGCGACGACGGGUAGCCGGCCUGAGAGGGUGACCGGCCACACUGGGACUGAGACACGGCCCAGACUCCUACGGGGGGCAGCAGUGGGGGAUCUUGCACAAUGGGCGAAAGCCUGAUGCAGCGACGCCGCGUGAGCGAAGAAGGCCUUCGGGUUGUAAAGCUCUGUCUGGAGGGACGAACAAAAUGACGGUACCUCCGGAGGAAGCCACGGCUAACUACGUG
rnacentral:rRNA from 1 species